rnacentral:rRNA from 1 species
AUUGAACGCUAGCGGGAGGCUUUACACAUGCAAGUCGAACGGAGUGGCGGACGGGUGAGUAAUAUAUCGGAACGUGCCCAGUAGCGGGGGAUAACUACUCGAAACAGUAGCUAAUACCGCAUACUAUUAGAGCGGCCAAUAUCGGAUUAGCUAGUUGGUGGGGUAACGGCUCACCAAGGCAACGAUCCGUAGCUGGUAUGAGAGGAAGACCAGCCACACUGGGACUGAGACACGGCCCAGACUCCUACGGGAGGCAGCAGUGGGGAAUUUUGUACAAUGGGGGAAACCCUGAUCCAGCCAUCCCGCGUGUAUGAAGAAGGCCUUCGGGUUGUAAAGUACUUUUGGCAGAGAAGCGUUAUCUGCAGAAGAAGCACCGGCUAACUACGUGCCAGCAGCCGCGGUAAUUC